rnacentral:misc_RNA from 1 species
AGCUCUCGAGGUUUUUAAUUUUUUUUAGUGUUAUUUACUUAUCAAUCAUGCCUAAGACAUUAAGAAGUGGUGAAAGAGAAUUGGUUCUCAAAGUUAAAAGGUUUUGUGAACGUGAAAAAACUAAUAAAGCUCCUCUUAUUCCAUUCGAAAAUGUUCGCCGUCGGGUAGCAGCCAUGACAGGUAUAUCAGAAAAGACGGUGACAAAAAUAUGUCAAGAAGGUGCAGUUGCCGCGAGUACA